rnacentral:tRNA from 1 species
GCCGCCUUAGCUCAGUUGGUAGAGCGCCAGUUUUGUAAACUGGAUGUCGCCGGUUCGAACCCGGCAGGCGGCUCCA